UUCGGGCACCUCACUACCAUUCAUUACAUCCGACCGACGCGAAUCGCGAUGCAGUCGCGACACUAGCCGUUCCAAAUUUUAAAAACUUUUCUUUUCAAAUUGCCCGCCCUUUUUGACAGGCUGUUCAUAUUGCGCGCCAUAUUUUUUUAGUUUUUGUUUUCUGGGCUGUGAUUUUUGAUUAAUCGUAUAAGGUUCCAAUAUGUCUCAAAACUGCAAAUCAACGUACUCCACGGCUACGACGAGGGACGCCAACAACAACACCCUGUACCAUGGAGGUGGCACACCAAGCUACGGCAGCAGAGGGUACACGCCACCUAGCGUCACCGGCGGGAACUAUCAGCAAGUGACGGCGAAAGUUCUCUUCGGCAGCGUGACGGCGAUCAAUGACCUCAAGCAGCAGAAGACCGGGCGGGACGAUCGGCGGACGCACUAGCGAGCUCUUGUGGCAGAUAACGAUUGUGAUAAGAAGAAAACAUGGAAGCUAAGGUGUGAUCUCGGGAGACAGAGUUAUAUUGUUUAUAAAAAUAUAUUUUUGUAUUAAUUGAUAGAUUUAGUUCAAAUACUCCGAUGUUAUACAAAAUAAAAUAAUUAUAUUAGUUA